AAGUAGUUUCAUGAUAAAGGGUGUAUGAGAGAUCAACCCUUUAUCAUGAAACGCUUGA
rfam:Homo sapiens chromosome 1, GRCh38 reference primary assembly.